UUGCGACCAUAUCGAGUUGAAACACCGAUUCCCAUACUGUCAACGAAGUUAAGCAGCCUAAAAUCAGGUCAGUACCUAGAUGGGUGACCGCUUGAGAAUACCAGAUACUGUAAG